AAAAGAAUAAGUUAAAUAAACUGUGAGAUUCAUGUUCUUAAAAUGAAAAUUUCUUCUUUU
rnacentral:tRNA from 1 species